rnacentral:rRNA from 1 species
ACGCUCGACACCUACGGGAGGCAGCAGUUAGGAAUAUUGGGCAAUGGAGGGAAACUCUGACCCAGCAACGCCGCGUGAAGGAAGAAGGUUUUCGGAUUGUAAACUUCUGAUCUAGGGGAAGAAGGAAGUGACGGUACCCUAGGAGAAAGCCACGGCUAACUACGUGCCACAGCCGCGGUAAUCUGAGCGGGCUGGCAAGGC